rnacentral:rRNA from 1 species
UACGGAGGGGGCUAGCGUUGUUCGGAAUUACUGGGGCGUAAAGCGCACGUAGGCGGCUUUGUAAGUUAGAGGUGAAAGCCCGGGGGCUCAACUCCGGAAUUGCCUUUAAGACUGCAUCGCUAGAAUUGUGGAGAGGUAAGUGGAAUUCCGAGUGUAGAGGUGAAAUUCGUAGAUAUUCGGAAGAACACCAGUGGCGAAGGCGACUUACUGGACACAUAUUGAUGCUGAGGUGCGAAAGCGUGGGGAGCAAACAGGG